rnacentral:rRNA from 1 species
UACGAGGGGGGCAAGCGUUGUUCGGAAUUAUUGGGCGUAAAGGGCGCGUAGGCGGCUUGGCAAGUGGAUGGUGAAAUCCCUCGGCUUAACCGAGGAACUGCCGUCCAAACUGCUUCGCUUGAGACCGGGAGAGGUGAGUGGAAUUCCCAGUGUAGCGGUGAAAUGCGUAGAUAUUGGGAGGAACACCAGUGGCGAAGGCGGCUCACUGGACCGGUACUGACGCUGAUGCGCGAAAGCGUGGGGAGCGAUCCGG